CAUCACUGAAUUCAAGGCAAAAUAUGAAUCUUUGGAAAAGCAGAUUGAACCGCUACAAGAGAAACAAAGGCUUUCUGACAAUAAGAUUGAGUCUUUGAUGCUGGAGAAGAGGAGCAUUGAAAAUGAAAAAGAUCUUUACAAGAAGAGAACACAAGAGUUGGUGGAGAAACUUAACCGUGCCAAACCAGAGGACUUCAUUAGGCUACAGCAGGAAGUAGUUGAACAGCAGAAGACCUUACAGAGCAAGGAGGCAGAAGUGUCAAGAAUAAAGAACCAGG